UAAUGUUGUAUAUGCCGUGUAACUUAACUUAUACACCAAGGGCGCGUUUGGUUCGAAGUCGGAAUCGAAAUCGGAAUCGGAAUCAAAAUAAGCUGGAAUCGGAAUCGGAAUGACUCAUUACCUAAUUUUGUUUGGUUCAUCACCUGAAUCGGAAUCGGAAUAAAUCAUUCCCAUUGUCGGUGUUUGGUUCAGGUAGAUAUAAAAAAUGUAAUCAAAUUAAUAUACUAACAUUAUCUUUAUAAUAUAUUAAUUUAAAUUCAAAUUAAAAAUUAAAUAUUAAAAAUUUACAUCAA
rnacentral:lncRNA from 1 species